rnacentral:rRNA from 1 species
GAUGAACGCUGGCGGCGUGCUUAACACAUGCAAGUCGAGCGGAGUUGUUUCAAGGAAGUUUUCGGAUGGAAUUGAAAUGACUUAGCGGCGGACGGGUGAGUAACGCGUGGGUAACCUGCCUCAUACAGGGGGAUAACAGUCGGAAACGACUGCUAAUACCGCAUAAGCGCACAGUGCUGCAUAGCACAGUGUGAAAAACUCCGGUGGUAUGAGAUGGACCCGCGUCUGAUUAGGUAGUUGGUAGGGUAACGGCCUACCAAGCCGACGAUCAGUAGCCGACCUGAGAGGGUGACCGGCCACAUUGGGACUGAGACACGGCCCAAACUCCUACGGGAGGCAACAGUGGGGAAUAUUGGACAAUGGGGGAAACCCUGAUCCAGCGACGCCGCGUGAGUGAAGAAGUAUUUCGGUAUGUAAAGCUCUAUCAGCAGGGAAGAAAAUGACGGUACCUGACUAAGAAGCCCCGGCUAACUACGUGCCAGCCGCCGCCGUAACAC